rnacentral:rRNA from 1 species
CUCUUGAAGUAAUUUUAAGUAUCCUCUGCCCUAUGAAUAGUUUAAAUGGCCGCAGUACAUUGACUGUGCAAAGGUAGCAUAAUCAUUUGUCUCUUAAUUGGAGGCUGGAAUGAAAGAGGCGACGAGAUUUAGGCUUUUGGCCUGUAGAUUAAAAUUGACAUAAAGGUCAAAAGGCCUUUAUUAACCAAAGGGACGAUAAGACCCUAUAAAACUUAACUAUGGAAUAAGUUAUUUAGGUGGGAUUUAAAGCUAUAGUUUGGCUGGGGCGGUCUAUAUAAAAACAAUAGAAAUAUUAAUAUUAUAAAUAGAAUUUGAGAGCUCUGAUAGGAAAUGAACAAGUUACUUUAGGGAUAACAGCAUAAUUCUCCCAGAGAGUUCUUAUUGGCGGGAGAGUUUAUGACCUCGAUGUUGAAUUGGGGUGUCUAAUGUAAGUAGAAA